rnacentral:rRNA from 1 species
GCUUGUCUCAAAGAUUAAGCCAUGCAUGUCUAAGUACAAGCCGCUAGUUCGGCGAAACCGCGAAUGGCUCAAUAAAUCAGUUAUGGUUCCUUAGAUCCACUCCAUCCUACUUGGAUAACUGUGGUAAUUCUAGAGCUAAUACAUGCACUCGAGCCUCGACCGAGGCCCCGGCAACGGGGUCGCGGAAGAGGUGCUUUUAUUAGAUCAAAACCAGUCGGGGAAACGAUCGCGCCGGGUCAAACCGGUCGGUCGCGGAACCGUACCAAUUUUGGUGACUCUGGAUAACUUCACGCCGAUCGCACGGCCUUCGCGCCGGCGACGUAUCUUUCAAAUGUCUGCCUUAUCAAUUGGCGAUGGUAGGAUAGAGGCCUACCAUGGUGUUAACGGGUGACGGGGGAUUAGGGUUCGAUUCCGGAGAGGCAGCCUGAGAAACGGCUACCACAUCCAAGGAAGGCAGCAGG